UCUCUGUUAGUAUAUCGGUUAGUACACGCGCCUGUCAUUUGCCUGGCCGCGCGAAAGCGGGGUUCGACUCCCCGACAGAGAG